GGACGAACGCUGGCGGCGUGCCUAAUACAUGCAAGUCGAGCGAUUGGUGCUUGCACCAAAGCGGCGGACGGGUGAGUAAUGUCUGGGAAACUGCCUGAUGGAGGGGGAUAACUACUGGAAACGGUAGCUAAUACCGCAUAAUGUCGCAAGACCAAAGUGGUUCGUCAUGCCAUCAGAUGUGCCCAGAUGGGAUUAGCUAGUAGGUGGGGUAACGGCUCACCUAGGCGACGAUCCCUAGCUGGUCUGAGAGGAUGACCAGCCACACUGGAACUGAGACACGGUCCAGACUCCUACGGGAGGCAGCAGUGGGGAAUAUUGCACAAUGGGCGCAAGCCUGAUGCAGCCAUGCCGCGUGUGUGAAGAAGGCCUUCGGGUUGUAAAGCACUUUCAGCGGGGAGGAAGGCGGUGAGUAAUCUCAUCGAUUGACGUUACCCGCAGAAGAAGCACCGGCUAACUCCGUGCCAGCAGCCGCGGUAAUACGGAGGGUGCAAGCGUUAAUCGGAAUUACUGGGCGUAAAGCGCACGCAGGCGGUCUGUCAAGUCGGAUGUGAAAUCCCCGGGCUCAACCUGGGAACUGCAUUCGAAACUGGCAGGCUAGAGUCUUGUAGAGGGGGGUAGAAUUCCAGGUGUAGCGGUGAAAUGCGUAGAGAUCUGGAGGAAUACCGGUGGC
rnacentral:rRNA from 2 species